AGUGAACGCUGGCGGUAGGCCUAACACAUGCAAGUCGAACGGCAGCACAGUAAGAGCUUGCUCUUACGGGUGGCGAGUGGCGGACGGGUGUGGAAUACAUCGGAAUCUCCUUUUUCGUGGGGGAUAACGUAGGGAAACUUACGCUAUUACCGCAUACGACCUACGGUUGAAUGCAGGGGAUCUUCGGACCUUGCGCGAUUGAAUGAGCCGAUGUCGGAUUAGCUAGUUGGUGGGGUAAAGGCCCACCAAGGCGACGAUCCGUAGCGGGUCUGAGAGGAUGAUCAGCCACACUAGAACUGAGACAAGGUCCAGACUACUACGGGAGGCAGCAGUGAGGAAUAGUGGACAAUGGGCGCAAGCCUGAUCCAGCCAUACCGCGUGGGUGAAGAAGGCCUUCGGGUUGUAAAGCCCUUUUGUUGGGAAAGAAAAGCAGCAGGUUAAUACCCCGCUGUUCUGACGGUACCCAAAGAAUAAGCACCGGCUAACUUCGUG
rnacentral:rRNA from 1 species